rnacentral:rRNA from 1 species
UGGGGUGCUCGAGUGGCGAACGGGUGAGUAACACGUGAGUAACCUGCCCUUGACUUUGGGAUAACUUCAGGAAACUGGGGCUAAUACCGGGUAGGAGCUCCUGCUGCAUGGUGGGGGUUGGAAAGUUUCGGCGGUUGGGGAUGGACUCGCGGCUUAUCAGCUUGUUGGUGGGGUAGUGGCUUACCAAGGCUUUGACGGGUAGCCGGCCUGAGAGGGUGACCGGCCACAUUGGGACUGAGAUACGGCCCAG